rnacentral:lncRNA from 1 species
GUGCAUAGAACCUCAAUUAUUUCUUGAGUAAUUUACAUCAUAUAAAUGAGUUAAUAUAGAUCCUUCCAGGAAAUUUCUUCCAUGUGUCAGGCAGAUGAGAUUAAAUAGUAGAAAAUAUGUACCUAGAAAUAUAAGAAAUAUACUGAAUAUGAAGGUAACUUACAGCUAGAGCCUCAAAGCCUCCUCCUUGCAAUGACGAAGUCAUGUCUCGGUUAACAGCAACAAUAUAAUGUCCAUGCAGAAGAUCAAUGGCAUCCUUUUUAGUUCAUGCAACAACCAAAUUUAUAAUGAGGACCUUCAAUGACUAAUGCAUGAAAAUCAAAGCCAUUAUAAGGGCUAACCUUCAAUGACUAAUGCAUGGAAGUUUUUUUUAGAAGAAAUGCAUGGAAGUUGGAACAACAAAACCAACAAUCAAAUAAUAUUGUAAGUACAGAAUACUAACCCAUCAAAGUAUGAUUAAUAAAUGGGAAAAUAAAGGUACAAGUAGAAAAUGCACUCAGAAAUACAUUAAAGGCCCUUUGGUUCUGUAACUUGAAAUGUGUUCACUUGACAGGGCAAGAAGACACUGAAGAAUAAUCCCCACAACAAAAAUAUAAAAAGAACAAUUAAUCUUGUGAUUCAAGAAACUCUAAAUGAACCAUGAAUAUUUUCAACUGUGGUCACGUCUAAAAUAUUGGAAUUUGUUUUUCAGAAACCAAAGCGUCAUUCAUGUCAGUGUAAAAAAGUACAAAUAUGCAUUUUAUGGCAGAGCCAUUUAGGAAGGAAAAAAUAAAGGAAUCACAGACCACAAGAGAAACAAUGGGAUCCCUUUCUUCGCAAGUAAGUCCAUCAGUUCAUUAGCCAUGUGGAAAAAUAUGGGGAAACUACACAUGUAGGCCAUAUAAGUCCUAGAUAACUCAUAGAGAUUACCCACAAGUACCCAUCUAUUAAAUUAGCUGAAUCAACCUCCAACAGCCACGGAACCCACUUCGAGGAAUAAAUGCACAAAACCAACUAGGACAUGAGCUUGAACUUUCAUUGGCAUCAAAUUCACUUUAGUCAAUACCUAGGAUGGACAACUAGGUCAGGGGCAACAGUUACACCCAGUGCAACUGCAUCCCAAGGACCUAGAAAACUAAAGGUCCAAUGCCCCAAAUAGAUUUGGGGGGAAGGUUGAGAGAAGUUUUGAGAGAGAGAGAGCAUAGGUCUAAAAUAGUGUUAUUGAGAUCAGACCGGUGCUCGAACCGGCAAAGGGACUGGUCCAUUUAAAACCGGUCCGACCGGUCAAACCUUUUUCAUAUGCAUAAAGAAUUAAAAAAUGACUAAAUUUCAAAUAUUCAAUAAAAAUAAGAAAAACAUUAGGUAAAACCAUUGAAAACUCGGUUAAAAAAAUUAUCGGAAAAAAUUCCAACUCGUGCAAAAAAUUAAAUAUUGGAGGAUUUUUCAAUUUAGUAAAUUAUGUAAAAAAUGAAUAUGGCCUAUGACAUCAUUAUUCAUAAAGCAUAAGUUCGUCAAUGAGGACGGACCUGGUGCGCCUUUGUCCCCAUCAAAGAGAGAAAAAAGUACAUCCAAAAAGGGGGAAAGAAAAUUGAUAAGUAAGACAAUUUUCCUUCUAACAAUUUAGGAUGACGAUUUUGGCCAAAAUCUUGAGGCCUUUUGAAUUAAAUAUUUUGGAAAUAAAAUAUCAUGUGCAUCAAAAUGGAAAAUAUAGAAAAAAGACAAAAAUCAGACCAAAAGAUAGGAAGAGAGUUGGAGGAAAGAUUGGGUCGGUUCAUCCAGGAGAACUGGCAAAACUGACAAUCAAACCAGUUCAACUAGUCAACCACCGGUUUUGACCAGUGCUCAAGAAAUACCGGUUUAUUGCCCAUAGUAUACCGUCCAAGGCACCGGUUGGAGGUUCGACCAAUUCAACCACCGGUUCAGCCCAAUUUUGAUAACUAUGGUCAAAAUAGAUUUUAAGGAAGUGAGUAAGAGAGAGAGACUCAUCCGAGACUUAUCAAAAAAGUAUUACUUGGAUAAGUCUUUGGAUACCACAACAAGACUCAGUCAGGCCUAAGGCAAGUCAACUCGGGAAAGUUUCAACCCGAGUUGCAAGUUUUAAAGCCAUGAUAUGGACAAUAGAUCUAUGGUAGGGCUUGGCUUCAGGAUGACAGCAGGAUUUUGAGAAGGAAACUUAGAGAAUUAUAUUAGAGAUAAAGGUAUACGUUCAUCAAAGGAAGAUGCAGCCGAAUAAUAUGGCUUGAGGGAGACAACUGGUUAAUACAAUGGAUCUCUUGUAUGUGGAACAUGAAAGAAAAUUUGAUGUUUAGCCUCUACAUUUAUCAAAUUCUGACUACUGAAGACUGGUGCUGAAGAUCAACCAAAUUAGGAUUUUGCAAAGAAUCAAGCGUUUGAAGGAAAUAUCACCCCGAUACCAUGUAACUGUGAAGAAUAAUCCUUGCAUAAUAUUUCUCAUGCCACAUGAAGAUUGCACUUAUAAACUACAGAGAUACUCUACAUGGCCCUUGAGAGAGAAAAAGAACAUUAAAGUUAACUAUGAAUUCAACACAGUUACUGGUCUGUUCUUACACAUACAUAUAACUCAUCUAUUAUACAAUACAAUACGAAUAAACAGCCACAACAUAAUCCAUUGGCAUCCAUAGCGCAGUAAUCAGUCAUGAAUAUUUACACCCUUUGUUCAUGAGUAUUAUAUCUAAAAAUAAGUGUACAGAACAAUCUAUCCUAAGCCACAGCUAAAAUAAUUCAGAAUGAUGCAGUACAUAACUAAUCAUUCAUAUAGAUGAGAUUAUAAUUCUAAGGGCUAAAUAGUCUUAAGAUCAAAGUGAGUCCCUAUGGCCCAAAAAUGAAAACGAAAAACUUCAUGCAAAACAAUUCCUGCCUAACACCAACCUGUUUUGUGCCAUCACAGAAGUUGUUUAAGUAAUAACGAGCAAGUGCAUUCCGUCCAUCAUUGAAGAUUCCCUGGAUGGUCCUCUUCCCAU